UGAGGAAUAUUGGUCAAUGGGCGCGAGCCUGAACCAGCCAAGUAGCGUGAGGGAUGAAGGUCCUAUGGAUUGUAAACUUCUUUUAUAGCAGAAUAAAGUGACCCACGUGUGGGGUGGUGUAUGUAUGCGAUGAAUAAGGAGCGGCUAACGCCGUGCCAGCAGCCGCGGUAAUACGGAGGAUCCGAGCGUUAUCCGGAUUUAUUGGGUUGAAAGGGUGCGUAGGCGGAAAGAUAAGUCAGCCUGUGAAAGUUUGCGGCUCAACCGUAAAAUUGCCUUCGAUACUUGCCUCCUUGAGUGUAGAUGAAGUAGGCGCAAUUUGUGGUGUAGCGGUGAAAUGCUUAGAUAUCACGAGGAACUCCGAUUGCGCAGGCAGCUUACUACACUACAACUGCCGCUCAUGCACGAAGGCGUGGGGAUCAAACA
rnacentral:rRNA from 1 species